AACGAACGCUGGCGGCAGGCCUAACACAUGCAAGUCGAACGCACCGCAAGGUGAGUGGCGCACGGGUGAGUAACACGUGGGAAUGUAUCCUUUGGUUCGGAAUAACGUCUGGGAACGGACGCUAAUACCGGAUGAGCCCUUAGGGGGAAAGAUUUAUCGCCAAAGGAGCAGCCCGCGUCUGAUUAGGUAGUUGGUGGGGUAAAGGCCUACCAAGCCGACGAUCAGUAGCUGGUCUGAGAGGAUGAUCAGCCACACUGGGACUGAGACACGGCCCAGACUCCUACGGGAGGCAGCAGUGGGGAAUAUUGGACAAUGGGCGCAAGCCUGAUCCAGCCAUGCCGCGUGAGUGAUGAAGGCCUUCGGGUUGUAAAGCUCUUUCGCACACGACGAUGAUGACGGUAGUGUGAGAAGAAGCCCCGGCUAACUUCGUGCCAGCAGCCGCCGUAAGAC
rnacentral:rRNA from 1 species